rnacentral:rRNA from 1 species
UACAGAGGUCCCGAGCGUUGUUCGGAUUCACUGGGCGUAAAGGGUGCGUAGGUGGUGAGGUAAGUCGGAUGUGAAAGCUCCGAGCUCAACUCGGAAAUGGCAUUGGAAACUACCUUGCUAGAGGGUUUGAGGGGGGACUGGAAUACUUGGUGUAGCAGUGAAAUGCGUAGAUAUCAAGUGGAACACCAGUGGCGAAGGCGGGUCUCUGGGCAACAACUGACGCUGAGGAGCGAAAGCGUGGGGAGCGAACAGG